UGGUACAGCUUGUUUUGUGGAUGUGUAGCCUCUUUCCUUACCUUCUUUUCCUGUUUUCUCUGUGCUGUUGGUUCAUGUUGUUACCCCGCUGCAAAGCAAUGCUAACAAAAAGCAGUGGAAGAACGAAGGAAACAAGCACCAAGGCAGAGUGAAGAAGGAGAACGGGAUUCCUCAGUUAGGGUUACUGGUCAUUUAUCUGAAACUGAAAGGCUGCUUCUGUCUGAGCAGCUGCAGGCUGGAAAAAAACCCCGAGUGAAUUGAGUUUUUUCCUUCGGUCUGUUCAGAGAAGGAAUAGAUGGUCUGUGGUUUUUGUUGUCUUUUUAUUGGGAUGCCUGUUUCAUCUGCUUGGAAUAACGUCAGCAAAAGAAGGAGCAUCUGCAUUUUUCUGCUGUGAAUUUCAGUGAGAAAGAACAAGAAGCAAACUUGCACCAUUUCUGUUUUUCCUCAGUAAAUCUGGUCCACCGUGCAGAUGGCUGCUGCUGUAACAAUCUUCAUCAGUUUGCUCAUUAUUUUACACCUAAGUAAAGCCCAGAAGUCCACAGAGGAUCUCACCAAAAGCCUCCACGUGGUACUCAGCCCUCAGAUACUCUUCAGCCUCCUGCUGCUGGGCCUGACUGUCACCUUGUCUGGCAGCGUCUACCUGUGGAUCCUCAGAUACGUCUGCAUCGGCUGCUGCCAGCCAGUCGCAGUCGGCCCAGAGACAGAGGCUCUGGCAGUGAUGGUGUGAAUUCAUCAGCCGGUCUGCAUCAGAGCACUGCUCAUCAACAUGUUUAAUAUCUCAUAGUUUCUUUACAGGUAGAAUAAAGUCUUUGCAUCAGUGAAGUGGGUCUGCUAUUAAAGAGAUUCGGCUGCAAUAUAAGGAGGAAAUGGCUGAAUGUGUCUUAAUGACUGACAUAUGUUUGCUUGUGGUUUAGAGAUCUGCCUUUGUUUUACUUAGCAGGGUUAAGUGUAUGAUAGAGAAAAGAAAAUAUGUUCAAAUGACUAACUUGCUUCAAAAUGACUUCUUCUAGCCCACUUCCUGACCUCUAAGCCACUGCCUGCAUCUCAGAUUAACAGUACUUACCUGACGCCGGAGAUUAUUUCCAGUAUAGAAAAAAGUUAUUUUGGUGCCAAAGUGAAAAAUCUGCCAGUAUUACAAUUUCCACAGCAAUGCUGAUAGGCUUGAUUUCAAUAGCACCCAAUAGUUAAUACAGAUCAAGUCAACCAGGGGGAGGACUUCAAACAUUUCCAUGUGUUUGAUUUUCACAUCAAACAAUGCUGCAAACAUGCUAGGGAGAUAACUGAUCCCGGUUGAGUGAGGCCCACUAUUGGCUCAUGGGAUUGUGUUCUGGCAGUUAAAGUGAGCCAGCUCUGGCCUGAUAACAGCUGCAAGGUUUUGGGUGUGUGGCUUUAGUUUGAGAUGAAGGAUGAUAGGAUGAUGUGCGGUGGCUGAACUCUUGCCAGUGGGUCUGUGUUUAGCCAAAUUUGUUGACAAGCUGCUUUGGCAACUUGAAGUUUCACAACUUCUGACUCAUGAUAGUUAUUCAGGUGGCUUAUUCUUUAUCCCAUGAAUUAAACUCUGACAGAGUACAGAAAGUAAUACUUUUGAUGAUCUAUGGGGGAAAUAGAUCAUCUAGGCACAACAAUCACAAACAGCUACUUUAAGCUAAUGGAGAGCAAAAAUGGCCGACUGUUUACAAGCUGACACAAAUUAAUGUUGGCAUUCAUUUAAGGUCAUGUUUUUUCAGUAGUUAAUGAAGUCAUGAACUCAUUUUAGCUCAGUUGCUAAUGCUACACCAGCUAAUUGCUAACAACGGGCUGAUAUGAGCAGUGAGAACCAGUUGGUGCCUGUUGUAAACUUUGACAAUAACAAGCUAAACUGCUUAAAAUCAGUAAGUUGUUAUGAUUUUAACUGCCGACAAAAUCUUCUGUACCCACAUCUGGGUAGGAGAUGCAGUGUCUCUGUGUCCACUGGGAAAUAAAAUAUGCCUCAUUCGUUUGUUGUAAAUUAAGUUUUCCAGAGUACUACUUAGUAGCAUUACUUGACUUUUUUCCUCACCCCAAAACAGAGCAAAGCUAAUGGACAAAUACAGCUAAGCUAACAGCUCAGGGUAUUCCACAUUUUCCUGAAACUGCCUCCAAAUAGCAGCAAAAUGCUUAGCAUGUACAUUAAGUUUACAAAUGUCAAACACAGCGAGGUUGAGAACUGCUGCGUUUAUCAACUAAGGAAUCUUUCAGAAGCAAAUCAUAGAAAACAGUAAGAAGUCAGAUUUAUGACAAGGUUAAGAUUGAUCAACCCUGAUUUUUACAGACAGAAGACAGAAGUAAUUUUAGAUUACUUUUAGCUAAUUUCUUUAUUAUGUUAACUUCUAAACAGCAGAUAAGCAUUUGUUGUUAACAGCAAAGCAACAAAGCUAACUUUCUGCUAAUAUAUUUUUUCCACCACUUGGCAAAAAAUGAGCUUUUCUUGUUUUUUAGCUUUCCAUUUUUAUAUACAAUGAAUGCACCAUGAGAGCCUUCAGCCAGAUUGUGUGAUUGUGAAAAUUGGGAGGGAUGAUGCUAACUUUUCUAAACUUUAUAAGAUUUAGUUUUGUGCCUGUAGCACAUAUUUCCAAUGCACAUUACAUUGAUUUAAAAACAUAUUAUAUAACAAAACUGAACAUCAGUGACAAACAUUUAUGGAAAGAUUUCCAUUACAUUUUCAGCAAA